UGCAUUGCAUCGUGGCAGCGAGUGUAUUCGAUAAGUCGUAACGACUCUCGGCAACGGAUAUCUCGGCUCUCGCAUCGAUGAAGAACGUAGCAAAAUGCGAUACGUGGUGUGAAUUGCAGGAUCCCGUGAACCAUCGAGUUUUUGAACGCAAGUUGCGCCCGAAGCCUUUAGGCCGAGGGCACGUCUGCCUGGGCGUCACGCA
rnacentral:rRNA from 2 species